rnacentral:misc_RNA from 1 species
GAAGAAGAAAGCUAAGAAAGGGUUCAAGACUAUAACUCUGACCGAGAAGUUCAGUUGUAGGGCUAACAUUCUGUUUGAAAUUCUCAUGGAUGACAAUAGAUGGAAAGGAUUCACUCAGAGCAAAGCUAUAAUAAGCAAGGAAGUAGGUGGAGAGAUCAGUAUAUUUGAUGGGUCUGUCACUGGGAAGAACUUGGAGUUGGAAGAGGGGAAACUGAUUGUGCAACAAUGGAGAUUCGGAAGCUGGCCUGAUGGCAUUCAUUCCACGGUGAAAUUGACAUUCGAUGAGCCUGAGCCUGGGGUUACCAUUGUGAAGUUGGUACAUUCCGACGUGCCUGAGGAGGACAGAUAUGGGAACGCAACUGUAGUGGAGAACACGGAGAGGGGCU